AUUUUUGCCUCUGUUUAACUUCUGCAGAUAUUCUAAUACUGUCCUUUAUCCUUUCAUUUUCCUGAUGUAAAGAAAAAAUGCUUGGUCAUUGCUAUCUUUGAUCAGACUCAUUCAAAAAAUCAUUUCAUAGACUUGUCACUUCUCUAGUUCUCUUUUCUGUAGAAUACAUUUGGUCACUAACAUUUCCUAUUCUUCUGCAAAAUCUAUUCUCUUUUUUUCCCAGCAAUGAGCACUUUGCUGAAUAAGGUGAUGGGUGACUUGUAAGGAGAUUUUAAUGUGUACAUUGGCUCUAGUUCAUAAAAAUGCUCUGCUGAAAAUAUGGACUAUGUGUACAGCUGAUUUUCAUCUUAGGUAAUAAUGGGAUUUUCAUCUUUCGUUACUAUGGGAACUGAACCAUAGUGCCAUAUUAAAGUGCAAGACUGGUGCUAAGAACUUUGGCCAAAUCAGUAAAACUGGUGAAAUCCCCAUCCAUUUGGAAUCUGUCUGUGUGCAAAACCACAGUUCAACUAGAGGACAACGUAAAGGCAUUAGCAGAACUUGUAAUGAGGGUGACCUGGGCUUGCCACAUAUCCAUUGAGUUUCAAAAGAAUACUGUGAUCCUAAUUCUGUGAAGAAAGAGCUUAUGAAUAAAUCUCACCUCAAGAAGAAAGAAACUACAUGAGAACCCUUUUACCAAUUUGUCGAAACUUCAAAGUGGGUAUCAUAAGACAGAUAACUGUGUCUGCGUGAAUCAUCACAUUCUAUAUUAAAACCAAAUGUUACUCAACAACUUCAGCAAAUUAGAAGCCCUCUUGAGACCUGUCAGCUGUCUGACCUUGAGAAAGUGUGUGGACUAUUUCUGGCUGAGAGUGGAAAGAGAAAUCGCAUGGGAAAGGAAAUCCUCACACGAGUAUGGACCAGCAUGGAUAUUUCCCUGGCAUAACUUGUUAUUUUACAUCUGUGGAGCAGCAGUGAGUUGAUUGUGUCUUCCUGAAGAUCAAGACUGGUGAGGAUGUUUGGGUAAUAAUCAAAAGACUAUGUUGGAUACCAUAGUCAUGAAAAUAUUUAACAGCAUCCUCUCUGUGCUAAUAUGAACUUUGAAGAAAAAGAUGCAGUAGGAUACAGAAAAACUUCAAAAUACAUUCAUGGGAAAUAAUGAUGGCUAUUGGAAUUAAUCACUGCUAAAUAUCCUCUUAUUACAGGACAUUUGGAUGGUUCUAGCUAAUGCCAGAGAGGGGUAGAUUUUAUAAAAAGAUAUGAAAAGAUUAAGGAAAAUCAUGAAUAAGGAGAAGAGGAAGACUGGAACAUUGACAAAUAAGAUACAGAAUCAGAGUAUGUAAGGCAUGAAUGGAGCGUUGGAGUGUAAUGGGAGGUGAUUUGCUACAUCUAAUUGCAUCCAAAUAUGGUGCUGAGACUUUCUUUUCCACCUUAGUAUUGAUACAUCUGUUUAUCAAGAGCCUCAUUUCAGGUAUUUUCAACUAAUUUAGAUCCUUAAAAACAGUGGAUUCCCAAGAGAUUACAUGGGAUUUAGUCAAAUUACAG
rnacentral:lncRNA from 1 species